rfam:Gossypium arboreum cultivar AKA8401 contig_49521_1, whole genome shotgun sequence.
UGUUAAAAGUUCAUCCAUUUCUAGUAUUAAAAAUUAGCGUGGUUGAUGAAAUAACCAGACAGUAACACUUGGGGUACCACAUGUACCUCAUUCUAACCUACAGGGACCAAUAUUCAACGGUAGAAAUGGAUGGAAUUUUUAACA